GACGAACGCUGGCGGCGUGCUUAACACAUGCAAGUCGAACGGAAAGGCCCUGCUUUUGUGGGGUGCUCGAGUGGCGAACGGGUGAGUAACACGUGAGUAACCUUCCCUUGACUUUGGGAUAACUUCAGGAAACUGGUGCUAAUACCGGAUAGGAGCUCCUGCUGCAUGGUGGGGGUUGGAAAGUUUCGGCGGUUGGGGAUGGACUCGCGGCUUAUCAGCUUGUUGGUGGGGUAGUGGCUUACCAAGGCUUUGACGGGUAGCCGGCCUGAGAGGGUGACCGGCCACAUUGGGACUGAGAUACGGCCCAGAGUCCUACGGGAGGCAGCAGUGGGGAAUAUUGCACAAUGGGCGGAAGCCUGAUGCAGCAACGCCGCGUGCGGGAUGACGGCCUUAGGGUUGUAAACCGCUUUCGCCUGUGACGAAGCGUGAGUGACGGUAAUGGGUAAAGAAGCACCGGCUAACUACGUG
rnacentral:rRNA from 1 species